AUGGAUGCCCAAUCCCUUUACUAA
rnacentral:tRNA from 1 species